rnacentral:lncRNA from 10 species
AGACCCGCGUGGCCCCUGCGGCUGCAACGGGUAGCACUUGACGGCCGUCCGCACUUCCUCCUUUGUCUUUCCCUUAUUCCUUACGUUUCUCCCUUGCUCACUCUUCCCUCCUUACCCUAUCGGGGCUGCAGACCCACGGAGGCCACGUUCACUCCUGCCCGUCGGCCUUGGCAAGCGCGGGCCCCUUGUCGCGCAGAGCGGAGGGUCCUGGGAGAUCCUGGGUUGGCCCAGCCACACCUUGCGCCGCCGCCGUUUCUGCUGGACACCAGGAGAAAACCACGGCAGCUGCAGCCACCAACUUCCCCUACAUAGCCCCACGGGAUCGGAUCCCACUCCCCACUCACCGCCAGACCGGAAGCAGGAAGGCGGAAGUCGCGGCCUUUGCGUCCCGCCCACAGGCGACCCGAGCCGCCAGCCGGGCGCUGGAGCCCGAGACUGCCACGUCCUGCGGGGACCAAGUGGUGGGCGAGGAGGCGUGGAGCGGCUUCAGGACUCGAGGAGCGGUUCCGAAGCAGCUAGGGACUUUUGCCUUUGCCCCCCGAGGUCGAUCGGAAGACAACCCCCAUCCCCUGCUGUAGCGGGACAGUUGGAGGGUCAUGGGUGGGUGAAGUGUUUGGCUGAGGGAAACUCAGACCAAAGAGCAGCGGCAAGAAAGCAGUUGGGUCCCCACAAAACGCCCGAAGUCAAGGUGAGGGUCACACAACGACUCUUGACGAUUCCGGCGAGUUCAUCCUGGUGCACAUCCCACUCCAUGCCUCUCUCUUCUGGUUGGACAAUAGUUACAUCCUUACGAAAAGGAGGCAAGCUACUGGGCCUUGGUGGAUCCACUCAACCUUGUUACCAAGGGACAUGCCGCCAUGCUAUGUGAAAAGGGGGGUUUUGUUGUUUGUUUUUAAUUUAAGUAUCUAAUUCGUUUCACGAAAGAAUGAUCAAUACCGGCCCAGAGUAAACUUGAUAAGUAAUUAAACUGUCAGGGCAUAGAGUUCCCAUAGAGGUGCUUGUUCUUUCAAUACACAAAUAAAGGGAUGCAAAAGUCAACAUGCAGAAAGGGGCUACUGCCUUCCUAGAGGUUUCAAAUGAAGUGCUACCUAUUACAAAAG